UACGAAGGGGGCUAGCGUUGCUCGGAAUUACUGGGCGUAAAGGGAGCGUAGGCGGACAUUUAAGUCGGGGGUGAAAGCCCAGGGCUCAACCCUGGAACUGCCUUCGAUACUGCGGUGCUUGAGGACUGGAGAGGAGACUGGAAUUCAUGGUGUAGCAGUGAAAUGCGUAGAGAUCAUGAGGAAGACCAGUGGCGAAGGCGGGUCUCUGGACAGUUCCUGACACUGAGGCACGAAGGCCAGGGGAGCAAACGGG
rnacentral:rRNA from 1 species